AACGAACGCUGGCGGCAUGCCUAACACAUGCAAGUCGAACGAGAUCUUCGGGUCUAGUGGCGCACGGGUGCGUAACGCGUGGGAAUCUGCCCUCGGGUUCGGAAUAACCAUUGGAAACGAUGGCUAUUACCGGAUGAUGACGUUAAGUCCAAAGAUUUAUCGCCUGAGGAUAACCCCGGGUAGGAUUAGCUGGUUGGUGUGGUAAAGGCGCACCAAGGCGACGAUCCUUAGCUGGUCUGAGAGGAUGAUCAGCCACACUGGGACUGAGACACGGCCCAGACUCCUACGGGAGGCAGCAGUGGGGAAUAUUGGACAAUGGGCGAAAGCCUGAUCCAGCAAUGCCGCGUGAGUGAUGAAGGCCUUAGGGUUGUAAAGCUCUUUUACCCGAGAUGAUAAUGACAGUACCGGGAGAAUAAGCUCCGGCUAACUCCGUG
rnacentral:rRNA from 1 species